UACGUAGGUGGCAAGCGUUGUCCGGAAUUAUUGGGCGUAAAGCGCGCGCAGGCGGUUCCUUAAGUCUGAUGUGAAAGCCUACGGCUCAACCGUGGAGGGUCAUUGGAAACUGGGGGACUUGAGUGCAGAAGAGGAGAGCGGAAUUCCACGUGUAGCGGUGAAAUGCGUAGAGAUGUGGAGGAACACCAGUGGCGAAGGCGGCUCUCUGGUCUGUAACUGACGCUGAGGCGCGAAAGCGUGGGGAGCGAAAGGG
rnacentral:rRNA from 1 species